UAGCAUAUCAAUAAGCGGAGGAAAAGAAACCAACAGGGAUUGCCUCAGUAACGGCGAGUGAAGCGGCAACAGCUCAAAUUUGAAAUCUGGCCUCUUUGGGGUCCGAGUUGUAAUUUGUAGAGGAUGUUUCGGGCACCGCUCCGGUUUAAAUUUCUUGGAACAGAAUGUCAAAGAGGGUGAGAACCCCGUCUUGGACCGGCAGUAGGGCCCAUGUGAAACUCCUUCGACGAGUCGAGUUGUUUGGGAAUGCAGCUCAAAAUGGGUGGUAAAUUUCAUCUAAAGCUAAAUAUUGGCCAGAGACCGAUAGCGCACAAGUAGAGUGAUCGAAAGAUGAAAAGCACUUUGAAAAGAGAGUUAAACAGUACGUGAAAUUGUUGAAAGGGAAGCGCUUGCAACCAGACUUGCGCGCGGCGGUUCCCCCUUCCUUUUGGUUGGGUUAUUCCGCCGUGUCCAGGCCAACAUCGGUUCUGGGGGUCGGUUAAAGGCCUGGGGAAUGUAUCUACCCUUCGGGCGUAGACUUAUAGCCCCGGGUGUCAUGCGACCUCCCGGGACCGAGGAACGCGCUUCGGCUCGGAUGUUGGCGUAAUGGUUGUCAGCGACCCGUCUUGAAACACGGACCAAGGAGUCUAACAUCUAUGCGAGUGUUUGGGUGUCAAACCCGGAACGCGGAAUGAAAGUGAACGGAGGUAGGAAGCUUCGGCUGCACUAUCGACCGAUCCUGAUGUCUUCGGAUGGAUUUGAGUAAGAGCAUAGCUGUUGGGACCCGAAAGAUGGUGAACUAUGCCUGAAUAGGGUGAAGCCAGAGGAAACUCUGGUGGAGGCUCGCAGCGGUUCUGACGUGCAAAUCGAUCGUCAAAUUUGGGUAUAGGGGCGAAAGACUAA
rnacentral:rRNA from 1 species